rnacentral:misc_RNA from 1 species
GAAAUGCGAUAACUAGUGUGAAUUGCAGAAUUCAGUGAAUCAUCGAGUCUUUGAACGCAUAUUGCGCCCUCUGGCAUUCCGGGGGGCAUGCCUGUCCGAGCGUCAUUACGCACCCUCAAGCCCGGCUUGUGUGAUGGGCCCCGGCGUCUCGUUCGCGAGACGGGCCCGAAAGGCAGCGGCGGCGUCGACCCGAUGAGCCCGAGCGUAUGGGGACUUCUGUCACACGUUCGCGGUGCGGACCGGCGCCUGCUUGACUUUUCUGAUUAUCCAGGUUGACCUCGGAUCAGGUAGGGAUACCCGCUGAACUUAAGC